AGAAGAAACAAAAGAGUAACUGCAACAAAACGACAUAUCUUUCUCUCUUUCUCUUUCUCUCUGUAUCUCUCUCUCUGUUAUCUGUGUGUCCAAUGUGGUUUUCCAAU
rnacentral:ribozyme from 14 species